ACCUUGGUAGCUCAGUUGGUAGAGAGCAUGAGACUCUUAAAUCUCAGGGUUGUGGGUUCAAGUCCCAUGUUGGGCA